GAUGAACGCUGGCGGCGUGCCUAAUACAUGCGAGUCGAGCGAACAGAUGAGGAGCUUGCUCCUCUGACGUUAGCGGCGGACGGGUGAGUAACACGUGGAUAACCUACCUAUAAGACUGGGAUAACUUCGGGAAACCGGAGCUAAUACCGGAUAAUAUAUUGAACCGCAUGGUUCAAUAGUGAAAGACGGUUUUGCUGUCACUUAUAGAUGGAUCCGCGCCGCAUUAGCUAGUUGGUAAGGUAACGGCUUACCAAGGCAACGAUGCGUAGCCGACCUGAGAGGGUGAUCGGCCACACUGGAACUGAGACACGGUCCAGACUCCUACGGGAGACAGCAGUAGGGAAUCUUCCGCAAUGGGCGAAAGCCUGACGGAGCAACGCCGCGUGAGUGAUGAAGGUCUUCGGAUCGUAAAACUCUGUUAUUAGGGAAGAACAAAUGUGUAAGUAACUAUGCACGUCUUGACGGUACCUAAUCAGAAAGCCACGGCUAACUACGUG
rnacentral:rRNA from 1 species